UACGGGGGGGGCAAGCGUUGUUCGGAAUUACUGGGCGUAAAGGGCUCGUAGGCGGCCAACUAAGUCAGACGUGAAAUCCCUCGGCUUAACCGGGGAACUGCGUCUGAUACUGGAUGGCUGGAGUUUGGGAGAGGGAUGCGGAAUUCCAGGUGUAGCGGUGAAAUGCGCAGAUAUCAGGAAGAACACCCGUGGCGAAGGCGGUUCUCUGGGCCUGUACUGACGCUGAGGAGCGAAAGCGUGGGGAGCGAACAGG
rnacentral:rRNA from 1 species